GCCACCGUAGCUCAGUGGGCAGAGCAGACGAUUCGUAAUCGUCAGGUCACCCGUUCAAAUCGGGUCGGUGGCU
rnacentral:tRNA from 1 species